rnacentral:rRNA from 1 species
UACGUAGGGGGCGAGCGUUGUCCGGAGUUACUGGGCGUAAAGCGCACGCAGGCGGUCUGCUAAGUUUGGUGUGACAGUUGGUGGCUUAACUGCCAAAGUGCGUCGAAAACUGACAGACUUGAGGGCUUGAGAGGGACACGGAAUUCCGGGUGGAGUGGUGAAAUGCGUAGAGAUCCGGAGGAACACCAAAGGCGAAGGCAGUGUCCUGGGGAGUACCUGACGCUCAGGUGCGAAAGCCAGGGGAGCGAACGGG